rnacentral:pre_miRNA from 1 species
GUAGUAUUCCCUCCGUCCCAAAAUUAUUGUCUUACAUUUGUUUAGAUACGGAUGUAUCUAACACUAAAAUGUAACUAGAUACAUCUGUAUUUAGACAAAUUUAAGACAAGAAUUUUGGGAUGGAGGGAGUACAAA